AUGCUCAUCCUGGGUGUUCCACGGGGUCAUAUCCGGGGGAGAAAACUUCAGAUCGUAAUCGAUCGUGGAGUCAUCCGGCAGCCUCAGCGUCUUGAUCCCAGGACACCGUGCUCGGAUCGCAGCAGCGCCCAUCCCAACGUUGAAGCAGUGGCGGAUGUCGAGAGACUCGAGGCGCGGGCAUCCGUCAAGGAUGGCCGCCAGCCCGUCGUCGCUGAGAGGGUUGGCGAAGAGCUGAAGCGACCGCAGCCCGCCCAUGGUGGCGAUGGCCAUGGCCUCCUGGUCGAUGUUCUUGGUGUUCCACUUGCAGAACUGCUUCUUGCUCAGACGGAAGCGCUUGAGGAGAGGGCAGGCGGUGCCGACGGCCUCGCACGUCCCCGGGUAGACGUCGGUGCAAAGCGAGAGCUCCAGCUCCUCCAGCAGGGAGAAGUUCGUGAUGGUGAGGCUGAGCCUCUCGUCGACGAUCCUGUCGCCGGAGAUGAUCCGGAGGCUCUUCAGCGAAGGCCUCGCACUGCCCCGCGGCACGCCUGA
rnacentral:rRNA from 1 species